rnacentral:rRNA from 1 species
UACGUAGGCAGCGAGCGUUGUUCGGAUUUACUGGGCGUAAAGGGCGCGUAGGCGGUCAGCACAAGUCAGUUGUGAAAUCUCCGAGCUUAACUCGGAACGGUCAACUGAUACUGUGCGACUAGAGUGCGGAAGGGGCAACUGGAAUUCUCGGUGUAGCGGUGAAAUGCGUAGAUAUCGAGAGGAACACCUGCGGCGAAGGCGGGUUGCUGGGCCGACACUGACGCUGAUGCGCGAAAGCCAGGGGAGCGAACGGG